UACGUAGGUGACAAGCGUUGUCCGGAUUUACUGGGCGUAAAGAGCGCGCAGGCGGUCGAUCAAGUCGAGUGUGAAAGCCCCCGGCUCAACUGGGGAGGGUCAUUCGAUACUGAUCGACUCGAAGGCAGGAGAGGGUAGUGGAAUUCCCGGUGUAGUGGUGAAAUGCGUAGAUAUCAGGAGGAACACCGGUGGCGAAGGCGGCAUCCUGGACCGGUAUUGACGCUGAGGAGCGAAAGCCAGGGGAGCAAACGGG
rnacentral:rRNA from 1 species